AGGACGAACGCUGGCGGCGUGCCUAACACAUGCAAGUGGAGCGACGAACCGGGCUUCGGCCCGGGGCAAAGCCGCGAACGGGUGAGUAACACGUGGGUAACCUGCCCCGAUGAUUGGGACAACCCGAGGAAACUCGGGCUAAUACCGAAUGUGCCCUCCGGCCUCAAGGCCGCUGGGGAAAGGAAGCUUCGGCCUCCGCAUCGGGAUGGGCCCGCGGCCCAUUAGCUUGUUGGUGAGGUAACGGCUCACCAAGGCGACGAUGGGUAGCUGGUCUGAGAGGACGAUCAGCCACACUGGGACUGAGACACGGCCCAGACUCCUACGGGAGGCAGCAGUGGGGAAUCUUGCGCAAUGCGCGAAAGCGUGACGCAGCAACGCCGCGUGGGGGAAGACGGCCUUCGGGUUGUAAACCCUUCAGUUGGGACGAAGCUUUGCCGGUGAAUAGCCGGUUGGAGUGACGGUACCUUCAGAAGAAGCCCGGCUAACUACGUGCCAGCAGCCGCGGU
rnacentral:rRNA from 1 species